rnacentral:rRNA from 1 species
UGGCGGGAGGGUGAGUAAUGUCUGGGAAACUGCCCGAUGGAGGGGGAUAACUACUGGAAACGGUAGCUAAUACCGCAUAACGUCGCAAGACCAAAGAGGGGGACCUUCGGGCCUCUUGCCAUCGGAUGUGCCCAUAUGGGAUUAGCUUGUAGGUAAGGUAACGGCUUACCUAGGCGACGAUCCCUAGCUGGUCUGAGAGGAUGACCAGCCACACUGGAACUGAGACACGGUCCAG